ensembl:lncRNA
AUGAUGCUGAUUCAAAAAAAAAUAUCAGCAAAAACUAUGCAAAAUUAUGAAAAAGUAAAAUCGGAUAUAAUAGAAGCAGAGAAAAUAGCUAAAAAGGCAUAUGAUGAUGCAUAUGAAAUUAGAAACAUAGUACAAAAUAAUGCUAAAGAAAAAGUGAAUCUUGUUUACCAACAUACGUUAGUGGCAAAAAAGGCCGAAAAUGACGCUAUAUUAGCAGUGGGUGCUAUUAAAGUUGAAACGAAACCGGCAGAAGCAUAUAAACAUGUAAAAAAAGUUGAGGAAGCCGCCAAGAUUGCUGAUGCAGCUGCAAAGGAAGCAGAACAGAAUGCGAAUAGUGCAGAAAUAGAUGCUUAUGAUUCAAACAGCGAAAAAGCAACAGAAGAUGCAUUAACAGCAAGAAAUCAUGCAUCAGAAGCUAAAAAAGCAGCAGAAAAUGCAAAUGAAUUAGUUAACAUUGCAAAAAGUGUGGCAAAUAAUAUAAAAUUAAAAGCAAUUCAAAAAGUUAAACAAGUUGUAGAAAAAUCAGAUGAACAUAAUAAAAAAGCAUUAGAAGCUAUUGAAAAAGUUAUAGCUGCAUACGAACGAGCAAAUAUACCUAUAGCAGUAUAUAAUAUUAAAAUUGUAAUGGAAGCAGUGACGGAAGCAACUAAAGCAUAUAAAAUGGCAUCGGAAGAAUUCAUGGACGCACUUAAAGAGAAAGAUAAUAUUAAAACUUUAAAGGAUAUAUCUAACGAUGAAGAAUCAACAAAAAUUGCUGAUAAAGCAUUAAAUAACUUUGAAGAAGUUAAUUAUAAACUAAAAAAUGCAGAAGACGCAGUGAAAAAGAUGAAUAAUAUUGUGGACAAUUUUAAAAAUAAAGCAACCGAUAAAGCUAUAGAGUUUGCGAAUAAUGUUAAAAUUUAUGCAAACGUGGUAAAAGAAGCCGAAAUUUCAUCUAUAAAUGCAUUGAAUAAUGCUAGCAAAACAAAAAAAGUUAAUAUAGCAUUAAAAGCUGCUACAGAUGCUACAUAUGCUGCUACUGAAGCGAUCGAUGCUGCAAAGAAUGCAUCUGAUUAUGCAAAAUUAUCUAAAUUAGAAGCUAACAAAACAAAGCGUGCUUUAGCAAUGAAAAAUACUUUGGAAGCUAGAGAAAUAGCAGAAAAAUCUAAUGUAUUAGCACUAAAUGCAAAAAAAAAUGCGGAAAUGGCAAAAAAAAUAGCGGAAAAUGUUAAGUUAGAAGCUUUUAAUAAUGUAAAAUCAGCUGUAAAUCAAGCUAAAGAAUAUGAAAAAAUAGCAAUGGAUGCUGUACAUAAUGUUAUGACAAUAUGUGCUAAUGCAUUAAACGAUCAAGAAAGAAACUCUGUUACAAAAGCUAUGGAAGUAGAAGCUGAAGCAACUAAAACAUAUAAAAUUGCAUUAAAAGCAGCUAAUAAUGCAAAUGAAUCAGCAAACGAAGCUAAAAAAUUAUCAGAAAUAUAUGAAGAUACAACAUCAACAGAAAUGGCAAAUACGUCUUUGGAAAGCACUAAAAAACUUAUGAUGGAAAUAGUAAAGGCAGAAAAAGCAGUUAAAGAAGCAAACAAAAAUGUAGACGAAUUGAAAAAUGAGGCAGUUGCUAGGGUGGCACAACAUUUGGCUAAAACUAAGGAGUUUGCGAAAAUAGCAGAAGAAGCAAAAAUUGAACUAAUGAACGCAUUGAAUGGGUUAAAAACGACAACAAAAUCUGAAAUUACAUUGAAAACAACAAAAGAUUGUAAAAAUGUUUCUAAAAAAGCUAUUACAGCUGCAAAAAAAUGCAUUUGA